AUUUAAUUUGGUUAUGGUUAUUAAGUUAGCUACAUUAUUAAAUUACACAUGCAAAUUUUUGUACUCCCGUAAACUUAAGUCACAAUUCUAAAAGAUUUAGACUCUAUUACAUUAAUCAAUACUACAAUAAAAAUUACGCCUGCAGUGAAAAAUACUGAUAUAAUUACGAAAGUAAGAUACGGUAAAUAAUAAAAAGACUGACAAAAUUCGUGCCAGCAGCCGCGGUUAAACGAUGGGUCUAAGCUAACUUCAACGGAGAAUUGAAGUUCCUAACAGAUAAUAAAAAUUUCAACAUAGGUACAAUUUUAAAAACAAAUAAAUAACAUUAUCUAAAUAAACAUUCAACAAAGUUAAGACCAAAACAAGGAUUAGAUACCCUUCUAUUCUUAACCACAAACUAAAUCUCCUGGCACUACGAGUACACACUUAAAACCUAAGAACUUGGCGGUGUUUCAACAUACUAGGGGAGCCUGUUUUAUAACCGAUAAUCCACGUUUAUUCCUACCUAAACUUGUAUAUCAGCUUGUGUACUGCCGUCUAAAGUUUACAUAGCAAUAUAGUAAGCCAAAAAGAUAAUCUCUCACAUGUCAGGUCGAAGUGCAGCCAAUGUUUAGGUCAAAAUGGGCUACAUUUUUUAAAUAUCCAACAUACUAUAUAAAAACCGUAUAAAGAUGGACUUAGCAGUAAAUUACAAAUAAAAUAUGUUUUUGAAGAAGCAAAAUGAGACGUGCACAAAUCGCCCGUCGCUCUUUCUGAGAAGAAAGAUAAGUCGUAACAUAGUUAGUGUAAUGGAAAUUGCACUUAUCAAGAU
rnacentral:ncRNA from 1 species